rnacentral:rRNA from 1 species
UGGAUCCAGACUUUGAUCCUGGCUCAGGACGAACGCUGGCGGCGUGCCUAACACAUGCAAGUCGAACGGGGUCGGCCCCUUCGGGGACUGACUUAGUGGCGAACGGGUGAGUAACGCGUGAAUAACCUGCCUUUCAGUGGGGGACAACAGUUGGAAACGACUGCUAAUACCGCAUGAUACUUUUUGGGGGCAUCCCUGAAAAGUCAAAGCUUUAUGUGCUGAAAGAUGGAUUCGCGUCUGAUUAGCUGGUUGGCGGGGUAACGGCCCACCAAGGCGACGAUCAGUAGCCGGUCUGAGAGGAUGAACGGCCACAUUGGGACUGAGAUACGGCCCAGACUCCUACGGGAGGCAGCAGUGGGGAAUAUUGGGCAAUGGGGGAAACCCUGACCCAGCAACGCCGCGUGAAGGAAGAAGGCUUUCGGGUUGUAAACUUCUUUUACCAGGGACGAAGGACGUGACGGUACCUGGAGAAAAAGCAACGGCUAACUACGUGCCAGCAGCCGCGGUAAUACGUAGGUUGCAAGCGUUGUCCGGAUUUACUGGGUGUAAAGGGCGUGUAGGCGGAGAAGCAAGUUGGGAGUGAAAUCCAUGGGCUCAACCCAUGAACUGCUCUCAAAACUGUUUCCCUUGAGUAUCGGAGAGGCAAGCGGAAUUCCUAGUGUAGCGGUGAAAUGCGUAGAUAUUAGGAGGAACACCAGUGGCGAAGGCGGCUUGCUGGACGACAACUGACGCUGAGGCGCGAAAGCGUGGGGAGCAAACAGGAUUAGAUACCCUGGUAGUCCACGCUGUAAACGAUGAAUACUAGGUGUGGGAGGACUGACCCCUUCCGUGCCGCAGUUAACACAAUAAGUAUUCCACCUGGGGAGUACGACCGCAAGGUUCCA